rnacentral:tRNA from 1 species
GCUCCUCAGCCGGUGGUGGACGGCCGGGUUUCGAGGGCCCAGGCGUGCCGCCGGACCGUGUCCGGCGGGGUGCG